ensembl:lncRNA
GGAGGAUAUGACCACACACACAACAGUGGAGUCUCCAUCACCUCUUCAUCAGUGUGUGUAGGGAGGAUAUGACCACACACACAACAGUGGAGUCUCCAUCACCUCUUCAUCAGUGUGUGGAGGGAGGAUAUGACCACACAUACAACAGUGGAGUCUCAAUCCGUGUGUCUAAACUAAUAUAGCAGGGCUGAAGGCUGAGAGAAGAAGCCCUGGAAGCUGUCAGAGAGGAGCCAUGGACACUGUCUCUGAACCGGACCCUGGACUCACUAUGGAACCUGAGGACAAGUCUUUGGACCCGAGGAAGACCAGCCACAGAAGAUUUGCCCUAAAGUCCUGCAACAUUGUCUUGCUGAUAUUCGGACUGCUGAGUAUUCUCUUAAUCUCCCUGCAGUUCAGUGAGUCUAAAUCAUAUCAUCCUGAUUAAAAUAAAAAGAAUAGAAGUAAAAAUUAUAUUAUUAUUAUUAUUAUUAUUGAUAUUAUUAUUAAUAAUCAUAACAAUAUUAACAACAAUAAUAAUAAUAAUAAUAAAAACCAUAAUAAUUCAUUCUUAUAGUAAAACUAUAAUGCCAUCCAGUCCCUUCCGGCUACCAUUGUAUGUUGUACAUCCUGGCACUUAAUGUACACACUUUUGUACGCACUUAAUCUACAAUGCACAUAUUCAUAGUACUUAAUUGUGAAGCAUCUGUAGUAGCUGCAAUCACUGCUAUACACAGGGGAUGGGGUAGCCUGGC